rnacentral:rRNA from 1 species
AGUGAACGCUGGCGGUAGGCCUAACACAUGCAAGUCGAACGGCAGCACAGUAAGAGCUUGCUCUUACGGGUGGCGAGUGGCGGACGGGUGAGGAAUACAUCGGAAUCUACUUUUUCGUGGGGGAUAACGUAGGGAAACUUACGCUAAUACCGCAUACGACCUACGGGUGAAAGCAGGGGAUCUUCGGACCUUGCGCGAUUGAAUGAGCCGAUGUCGGAUUAGCUAGUUGGCGGGGUAAAGGCCCACCAAGGCGACGAUCCGUAGCUGGUCUGAGAGGAUGAUCAGCCACACUGGAACUGAGACACGGUCCAGACUCCUACGGGAGGCAUCAGUGGGGAAUAUUGGACAAUGGGCGCAAGCCUGAUCCAGCCAUACCGCGUGGGUGAAGAAGGCCUUCGGGUUGUAAAGCCCUUUUGUUGGGAAAGAAAAGCAGCAGGUUAAUACCCCGCUGUUCUGACGGUACCCAAAGAAUAAGCACCGGCUAACUUCGUG